UUUCUGGUGGCCCACUUUACAUAAGGACGUUAAGAGCUAUGUGGGGGCUUGUUCUACCUGUGCCCGAAGUAAACCGUCUCACCGCCCUCCUGCUGGUCUCCUGCAGCCUUUACCUAUUCCCAUGAGACCAUGGUCCCACAUAGCUUUGGACUUUGUUACUGGGUUACCCCCCUCUCGUGGAAUGACAACUAUUCUGACCAUAGUGGAUAGAUUCUCCAAAUCAUGCCAUCUUAUUGCAUUAAAGAAACUUCCAUCAGCACUCCAGACUGCUCGGCUACUUGUCCGUCAUGUGUUCCGUCUGCAUGGAUUCCCACAAGAGAUCCUGUCGGACCGAGGCCCUCAGUUCACCUCACAGGUUUGGAAGCAGUUUUGUCUCGCCUUAAAUGCUAGAGUUGCUCUCUCCUCAGGUUACCAUCCUCAAACUAAUGGUCAAACUGAGAGAAUGAACCAAGAACUGGAAUCCAUGACCCUCCUGAAUUUCUCUGCUCAAGUGAUCAAUGGACUCGAAGAACCUUCCAACCCUCGUUUCAGUAGAACUCUCCUUGUGUGUUUAAAUAAACCUUUGAAACUUC